rnacentral:rRNA from 1 species
GUGGUCAGGUAGAGAAUACUCAGGCGCUUGAGAGAACUCGGGUGAAGGAACUAGGCAAAAUGGUGCCGUAACUUCGGGAGAAGGCACGCUGGCGGUAGGUAAAGUCCCUCGCGGACGGCGCUGAAGCUAGUCGAAGAUACCAGCUGGCUGCAACUGUUUAUUAAAAACACAGCACUGUGCAAACACGAAAGUGGACGUAUACGGUGUGACGCCUGCCCGGUGCUGGAAGGUUAAUUGAUGGGGUCAGCCGCAAGG